rnacentral:lncRNA from 1 species
GCAGGGGAUUGGCUAUAUGGUAGAGAGAGCUGCUGAGAGUUAACACGAGUGAUGAGGCAAUGCAGAGAUUAGCAUCAAGAAGCAGGAAGCCACUACCGACUCUGCUAAAGGAAAAAAGAAGGAACCAGAAGCUGAACCACAGUGGACCUGUUUUGGCAAGAGCUGGAACUACAGAGAAGACAGUCACUGCUGCAGAAAUCACCCAAGGAAACAAGGAGAGAAAUACCCUGGCUUCUCCCUCCUUUCUACCCUCCAUUUUUUGCCAGUGUGUCUUCCUGGCCUAACCCAACCAGCUGGAAGUCUGAGACACAAGAGCCUGUGAACUGCAGCCUGCAAGGAUCAGCCAUCGUGAACUAAAACACAGCAGGCAAAGAGGGAGGAUGGAUUCAGGGCAAACAGAUCCAGGACCAGUACUGCACCUUUAGGGAACUAAUUUACACUUCAGCAUCGAGGUUGCCUUCUUCAAAGUCACCACUCCAGCGGGGACAUCAUCUUGUCCACCAGAGCACCUGGAAUGCUGCUUUGGGAACAGGCCUGCAAGCAAAAGUUAAGUCUUGUGAGCUUUCUGAAUGGUGGCAAGCCAAACCUGGGCUUGAAUUUUGAGAAAGAUGCUUAGAUUUGAUAAAUGAAGCAUAUGAUCACUUAGUAAUGGGGUUUAGAAUGGAAAAAACAAGGCACGAGUUAGCAUAACCAAUAGCUAAUAUUGAUUGAGGCAGGCCAGGUACUACUCUAAGUGUUCUGGAUGGAUUAUCUUAUUUAAUUCUCACAGUAACCCUGUGAGUUGGCUAGUAUCACCUCUGCUUUACAGAUCAGGAAACUGAGGUAAGGUACAUUAAAUAAACACUCUCCAGUGACUAGAAUGGGAAAAAUAAUCUGCUAUUUUACAGUGUUUAUCUUUAUCAUUCUAAAAUGCGAAGAGAGCUGGGGACUGGGAAUGAGGAUCAGAGGCUUCUUCUUCUUAAUUCAUAAACCUCACAGCAGCCCACAUUUAACUUUUUAUAUAUCAAAAUUGUCAAAACAUUAAAUGAAGGUACCUUAAACAAUGUGCCCAAUGUUGCACAGAUACCUCUGAUUCCAGAAGCCUUGCUCUUAAGUAUUCAGUACAGUGUCUCCCUGAUUUACUUGAGUGGUUUAUACAUUGCUGAAUUGAGGAGUUAUCAAAGGGACUUCCUGACUCAACCUAUUAUUUUUUCACAGGUCCGUAAGGCCUGGAGUCUUACCAUUAGAGUUAAAUCUCAGGCGUUUUGUUUGACAAGGUCUCCUAUUGUUAAUUGGGAGAGUAUUUAUUUAAAUAUGCUUAAUAAAUUAAAAAGACUCAGAAAGCAGGGAGAAGCAUACAUGGAAAAUAAGACCAAUGAAUUUUGAUGGUGGAAAAAUAGCAAAAGACUCUAAUGCUACAAUUCCAUGGGAUGACAAUAGUAGUGUAUGUACCUCAUCCAUCCAUUCAUCUGUCCAUCCACCCAUCCAUUCAUUUAUUCCACAAAUGUUUAUUGAAGGUCUGUGUUGUUCCAGACAUCAUGCCAAAAACUGGCAUACAGUGUUGAGCAAAAGCAGAGCCAGCCCCUCUGAGAGAUGGGAGUCUAGUAGGAGAGAAAUAAAAUUUGAACUAUGACAGUGUCUGAGAAAGAGAAGAACAAGGUGCUAUGAGAACAG